rnacentral:rRNA from 1 species
GAUGAAUGCUGGCGGCGUGCCUAACACAUGCAAGUCGAGCGGCAGCGCGGGGUGCUUGCACCCUGUCGGCGAGCGGCGAACGGCUGAGUAACGCGUAGGAAUUUUCCCCAAAGUGAGGAAUAACUGCCCGAAAGGGUAGCUAAUGCCGCAUAUGGUCUUCGGAUUAAAGGAUUUAUUCGCUUUGGGAGGAGCCUCCGUUGGAUUAGGUUGUUAGUAGGGUAAUGGCCUACCAAGCCGACGAACCAUAGCUGGUCUGAGAGGAUGAUCAGCCAGUCUGGAACGGAGACACGGUCCAGACUCCUACGGGAGGCAGCAGUGAGGAAUCGUCCACAAUGGGCUAAAGCCUGAUGGAGCAACGCCGCGUGAAGGAUGAAGGCCUUCGGGUUGUAAACUUCUUUUAAGAGUGAAGAAUAUGACGGUAACUCAUGAAUAAGCACCGGCUAACUACGUG